AACCGAAGUGAUGUACCGAAGGACUCAUGAUACCGGCAAGUUCCUGCUCGUAGAUGAGCUUAAAGAACAGGAGGUCCGCGUUCUUGAGUAACGUCGGGACAUGUACUGGAGCGGAUCGGCUCUGCGAGAUGAACGGCAGGCAGAGGGCAGGGUUAAGUGUGAGAAGGCACCAGGGGCUAUUGGCUCAAACCCCACCACUAGAGUUUGUUGUUCAUAGGUUUCAAUCUGGAGACUCAGUAUUGAUCCAGACUUGGAGAGAACCCAAGCUCCAACCCGAGUGGAAUGGACCCUUCCAAGUUCUGCCAACCACAGAGUGUUGUUUGAACCACUGAAAAAGGAUGGACUCAUUACACACCAGUUAAAGGGCCAAUCAGCCCACCCUCAGACUGUGGGGACUGGCACGUUCAGACCACGGAUGAUCCCCUGCGAAUCUUGAAAAGAAAACUGCACUCAUCUCUCUCCUAGCCCCAACUAUUGACAACAUGUUAAAAAGGGGCCAAGUCAUAGUAUUGGUGGUGGUAAUGACCAGUCUCAGAGGAAUCGAGGGUAUAGGUUGGGAGGAGGGUGAUAAAUGGAGAGGGGAAGCAGGAUACCCUGUGAAAUUAUGGGUGAAUGUAACAGAGUCCAAGGUACCACAGACUGUUCGGUUUGACGCUUGUCAGGUGUUAGCCUGUGGAGACCCCUAGAGGCUCAGUGAAACUAACUAGUGAGAAUAAAUACCUCUGCCCCGAGAAUCAGGAACGGGUAUAUAGGGGACCACCAUGUCCUGGAUGGAGUAAUGUGUGGUGGACCACCACCUAUAAUGGAUGGACUUACUCACCAAGUUCAUCCAACUCCAUCAAACCUUUGAAAAAUCAAAUCAGCAUAUUUAAAAGAAUUGCUCAGCCAAAUUGCCAGCCCCUGCAGUGUAACCCGAUAAUGAUAAUGAUUAGAAAGGUUGAUAAAUUUGUCAACUGCACUUAUGGUUUCGGAGUGGAUGUGACAGGGAAGGACCCAGUGGUGAGAUUUAGGAUAGCAGUAUGGGAGCCACAACCCUAUGUUACUAACACUACCUAGGAGGAGAAAGAUCCUGUAGAAAGUGGGGGGAGUCUUCUCAAUAACCCCAUUGUAACUGUUAAGGAAAAAGAAGAUAUCUGACAGAUGUUUGAGGUAGAAACACGAUAUGGGGACCUGAAUGCCUGGGUAGAAUGGGUAAAAUAUACCAUCCAGAGUCUCAGUCGUAGCAAGUGUUAUGCUUGCACCUCAGGGUAAAUAACUGCCCAGGUGGUACCCUUUCCAUUGGGAGGGACUAGAGAUCUCCAAGGAAUGGAAUGCACGAUUGCACUCUAUCAGAAGAAAACUGCCUGGACAAAUGAGACUUCCAAGUCUCUCUCUCUCUUCUUCCCUCCCUUCCCUAGCUGGGAUACCAGAAUUCCGCCUGUAUUCUCCACAGCCAUUGGUCACCGUACAGCUUGUCUCUCUGAGCAGGUUGUGAAUGCUACCAGGCCCUUGGGGGAAUGCGCCUUGUGCCCCGAAACCCUAAAUGUUGCGGAUGAUUAGGUGGGGAACUAUUCAAGGCUGAGAAUCCCCUGGGCAGAUCUCUGGUGGUAUUGCGGAGGGAAAGCCCUAUGGUCCACCUUGCCUUCUAACUUGGGGGGCACCUGCACACUUGUUCAGUUAGCCAUCCCAUUCACCCUGGCAUUCGAAAAAGAAAGCCCCUGUACUCCUAGGAGAAAUAGGAGAAGUUUAGGAGUAUCAUCUGACAGAAGAAUGUAUUUAAAUUCUAUUGGGGUACCUAGAAGAAUCCCUGAUGAGCAUAAAGUAAGGAGCCAGACUGCGGCCAGGUCUGAGUCCUCACUAGUUUGGUGGAUAACUAUUAAUAAGAAUGUAGAUUGGAUCAGUUAUAUUUACCACAAUCAGCAGAGGUUCAUAUAUUAUACUAGGGAUGUUAUAGAAGGGGUUGCAGAACAAUUAGACGCCACUGGUAGGAUAACAUGAGAAAAUAGGAUAGCAUUAGACAUGGUGUUGGCUGAAAAGAGGGGAGUAUGCAUAAUGAUGGGCAACCACUGUUGCACCUUUAUUCCCGACAAUGCAGCCCCGGAUUGCACCAUAACCAGGGCAUUGCAAGGACUCGCUGGCCGAUGCAGAGGACUCGGGAAUAGACACUUCACUUACUAGAUGGUUGGACUCUUGGUUCAGUAAAUGGAAAGGAGUGGUGGUAUCCAUACUUACACCUUUAAUUGUGGUAGCAGGAGUUCUAACAGCAAUCAGCUGUUGUAUUAUCCCCUGUGUUAGAGGAUUGGUCCAGUGUCUAAUCAAAACCACCCUAUCUAAGCAGAUGCUGUAGGGCUACCCCUGUAUUCAGACAAGAUGUUGAUAUUAGGAGAAGAAGUAGGAGACGGUGAUCAGGACGACCUGUCUUCAGAUGAGAAAUGUGAAAUAAUGCUAUUGACACUAGAAGCCACAUACAGGACUAUACCUUAUUAAAUUUUGCAAAAAUCAACAAUUGUGUAAAUAGAAAGAGGGGGAACUCUGGGAAAGGAAAUGUUUUUUCAGAAUGACACCAGAACAAACCUCGUGCAACCAAAGAGCUGUACCUAAGGAUUCAUAAUACUGAUAAGUUCCUGCUCGUGGCUGAGCUUGAAGAGCAGAAGGCCUGUGUUCUUAAGUAACAUCAGGAAAUGUACUGGAGUGGAUCAGUUCUGCAGGAUGAAUGGUAGACAGAGGGCAGGGUUAACUAUGAGAAUGUUAUCUCAGCAUACCAUAACAGGGAAAAGCUAAACACAAAUUAGGAGGGGAACAGGGAGGAGGUAACCAAGCAGUAAACAGGGGCGUUACACAUAAUAAGAAAAUCAGAAGUGUGGGAUAGGCUGUAAGCCCUAGAGUGCUCAACCAGUGAGGAAACAAGAACUCGUAUUGGGCAGUAGGAAACAGAAGCUGUUGCAUCUUUUCAUUUGAGUGUGCCUGCCCUAUAGGUCUUCUAGUCUUGCAAAAGUGUAAAAUAAAAUGUGAUUUGUAGCAAAUUCCA